AUUGAACGCUGGCGGCAGGCCUAACACAUGCAAGUCGAGCGGUAGAGAGGAGCUUGCUUCUCUUGAGAGCGGCGGACGGGUGAGUAAUGCUUAGGAAUCUGCCUGGUAGUGGGGGAUAACGUUCGGAAACGGACGCUCAUACGGCAUACGUCCUGCGGGAGAAAGUGGGGGAUCUUCGGACCCCACGCUCUCAGAUGAGCCUAGGUCGGAUUAGCUAGUUGGUGAGGUAAAGGCUCACCAAGGCGACGAUCCGUAACUGGUCUGAGAGGAUGAUCAGUCACACUGGAACUGAGACACGGUCCAGACUCCUACGGGAGGCAGCAGUGGGGAAUAUUGGACAAUGGGCGCAAGCCUGAUCCAGCCAUGCCGCGUGUGUGAAGAAGGUCUUCGGAUUGUAAAGCACUUUAAGUUGGGAGGAAGGUCAGUAGCUUAAUACGUUGCUGAUUUGACGUUACCGACAGAAUAAGCACCGGCUAACUCUGUGCCAGCAGCCGCGGUAACAC
rnacentral:rRNA from 1 species